rnacentral:rRNA from 1 species
GAUGAACGCUGGCGGCGUGCCUAAUACAUGCAAGUCGAGCGAACAGACGAGGAGCUUGCUCCUCUGACGUUAGCGGCGGACGGGUGAGUAACACGUGGAUAACCUACCUAUAAGACUGGGAUAACUUCGGGAAACCGGAGCUAAUACCGGAUAAUAUAUUGAGCCGCAUGGUUCAAUAGUGAAAGGCGGUUUUGCUGUCACUUAUAGAUGGAUCCGCGCCGCAUUAGCUAGUUGGUAAGGUAACGGCUUACCAAGGCAACGAUGCGUAGCCGACCUGAGAGGGUGAUCGGCCACACUGGAACUGAGACACGGUCCAGACUCCUACGGGAGGCAGCAGUAGGGAAUCUUCCGCAAUGGGCGAAAGCCUGACGGAGCAACGCCGCGUGAGUGAUGAAGGUCUUCGGAUCGUAAAACUCUGUUAUUAGGGAAGAACAAAUGUGUAAGUAACUAUGCACGUCUUGACGGUACCUAAUCAGAAAGCCACGGCUAACUACGUG